rnacentral:tRNA from 1 species
UGGAGUAUAGCUCAGUGGUAGAAUGCUGUGCUCAGCAUGCAUGAGGCCCUGGGUUCAAUCCCCAGUACCUCUG